AUUGAACGCUGGCGGCAUGCUUUACACAUGCAAGUCGAACGGUAACAGGCCUUCGGGUGCUGACGAGUGGCGAACGGGUGAGUAAUGCAUCGGAACGUACCCAGAGGUGGGGGAUAACGCAGCGAAAGCUGUGCUAAUACCGCAUGUGAUCUGAGGAUGAAAGCGGGGGACCGAGCAGCAAUGUUUGGCCUCGCGCCUUUGGAGCGGCCGAUGUCGGAUUAGCUAGUUGGUGGGGUAAAGGCCUACCAAGGCGACGAUCCGUAGCUGGUCUGAGGGGACGACCAGCCACACUGGGACUGAGACACGGCCCAGACUCCUACGGGAGGCAGCAGUGGGGAAUUUUGGACAUUGGGCGCAAGCCUGAUCCAGCAAUGCCGCGUGCGGGAAGAAGGCCUUCGGGUUGUAAACCGCUUUUGGCAGGAACGAAACGGUGUCCGCUAAUACCGGGCGCUAAUGACGGUACCUGCAGAAUAAGCACCGGCUAACUACGUG
rnacentral:rRNA from 1 species